AAAUACGAAAGGCAGCGGCCGGGGAGAGAUGGUCCAGGUGGCAAAGCACCAGCUACACAAGCCAGAGGGACCUCAGUUCCAGCUCAGGACUUCUAGUCCUUCAGUGUCCCCUCCUGAGCUCUGGAUUAUAGAUUGAGGGGUGGCUCUUAUUACGUAGAUCAGGCUGGCAUUAUACUCCCGAAACUCCAUCUGCCUUGGCCUCCCAAGAGCGAGGAUUACAGAACAUGAGAUGCCUAAAGAGACCCCUGGACACUCUGUUUCAACAUUCUGUUCGCCAAAGGGAUGUAAGUGUCUCCUUUUAGAUUAUCUUUGUCCUUGCCAGGACAAUUGCGCCUCACUUCCGUCUUCCUGCUCUCUUCUCAAAACCCCUGCAACUCCAUGGACCUUAUUUCCCUGAACAGCGAUGCGCUCCGCCCUUUCUCUUCCCAGUGAAAGCCGGCCACACCGGGGGCUCUCUUCCUACGGUGGUCACGGCCUGGAAGCCAGAAA